GGCAAAUCUCUUAAAAAUAAUUGAUGGACACUGAUUUUUGAACUCGGCCAAGACAUUGUUGAUAUGAACCCAAGAUAUAUAAGUUUCAUAAAAAUCUGGCAAGAAUUGUACACGCGAGAGCGCUACAAGAUGUGUGUUAUGUGGGAGACAAAAAUCAAAUCUAAAAGUCUGAUAACUCAAAUUCUAUUCUUGUAAAUAAUUCUAUGUCAUAAUGAAAGCAAUUCAUAUACUGUAUAUCUUUUUAAUCCUGUGUCAUAAAAAUUUCAAUCAUAAUCAUAAAGAACAUUUUCAAAAAACUUUAAAUAGCACUUUUUGAUGCCACAUUUAACAAAUUGUUUAUUCCUUUCUUCUAAUUUCCUCUACUGCUCACAAGUAUUUUAUUACAGACAAGUUUGCAUACAAUAUUUUAUUUCCUGUAAUAGUCAUAAGUAUAAUAGUCAUAAGUUUAAUUGAUGAGACACUUUUCAGUCAUACAACUAUUUUGUCUGAUUUUAACCUACAUCCUAUUCAAAGCAAUUUAUGAAAAUAAAACAUAAAGCAACAACCUCAGUCUAUAUAAACAUACAUUUUUUCUUACACUCAUUUAAUAAUCUUACAAUCAACAAAUCCCAAUGUUUACAUUUAACAAAUUUUCUAGCUUUCAUGCAAUACACAUUUAUAGAUAUACACAAAACAAAUUAAAAAUCAAAAUAAGAGUUGACACUUUAAAAUGUCUUGCCUAAUAACAUAUUUGGGUUACUGUGAAUCAAAUUUUUGCGAAACAUGUAACAAUGUCAAUAUUACAAAUACAUUAUUUCCCAUUAUAAAUUUCAUUUGCAUAUUUUGUGUGCAGAAUUAUAAGAAAUCAAAUAUCUGACUUUAUAUCAACAAUCAUUUUAAUAAUGUAUGCAAUAUUUACUAAUCUAACAGGGCUGGGUUCAAUAUCGUAGCGGCUACGUAGUAUUACAUAGAUUUUGACUAUUGAACGUGAAGCUGUAGACUAGUUACAUAGAAAUUGAUAGCAGCUAAGUAGAGGCUACGUAGCUGCUAGGAUAUUGAACUCAACCCAGUACUUUUAUGGUCAAUAAGAUCUGAAAUGAGGUCAUGAUCACAUAAUACCUGUCAAAUACACAAAUAUUUCUAUCAAAGAAUUUUCACAAAUGUUGGUCAAUAAAGUAUAAUUUGUUAGAUUGUGAUAAAAAUAAACACAACUUACAUUUAGAUUAUGUAAACAAGAUCAUGGCCAUGUGAUUUGGAUAGAUUUCUGACGCAAAAACACAUACUAAAAUUUGUCAACCUAUGAUGUAUAAUUACCCAGAAAAGGGCAUUAUCCUCAAAAUUAUACCUGACAAUUGGAUGAAAAAGAGCACAAGGCCAAAUAUAACACUAACAAAACUGAUAAAUAUUUUUUUCGUGUACAAAAUUUUACUGACUUAUUUAUCAUGUAUCAUUACUGAUAAAUUUGACUUCCCACACUUCUGGUCAUCAGUGUCCUGGAUUCCUGACACAUUUGGAAUCUUAUUGUUAUCUCAUGUUAAAUAUCAUAUGGACAUCUAUUCAUUACAACAAUAUUGGUGAACAUUUAUUCUGUAGUAAAACAGCCAUAUGACACGCAAGACAUAUACUGGUUUGAACCCCCUUACUAUCAAAAAUAUUUGACCUAUAAUGAAUUAAUAUUUGAUUGAUUGUAUAGAAUAAGUAAAAUCAACCAAUACAUCAAAUAAGUAGGUCAACUGGGAUGGAGGACAUAAAAUUAGGUCUUAACCAACUAUUUUUGACCUAUAAUGCAGAGCUAUUGAAGGACAGACCAUUGUCUUGAACCUGACAACUGUAGGUAAAAGAUAUAAAAUCAAGUCCAAUGAAUACUCCAAUAUAUUCCUCAGCACAUGGUUACACCAAAUAUUGAUGACCUGACCACAGCAUCAUGAAAAUGAGGUCAAAAUCAUAUGACUUAAAAGACAGUAUGACAAUUUGAAAGAUGGAAGAUGGUUAAUCUUUAUUUAACAGGGAGUGUACCUAUCCCUGAAGAGUUAAUCUACAUACCCAGGCAUAAAUUUAGAGACAAUUGGUUAAAAAAAUUUGUAAGGGUUCCGCGGAACCCAGUGUCUCGCCUAUUUUGCUGUAAAUUGCAGACUCAACAACAAUGAGGGAAAAAAUCAAUAAAAAUAUUCCUCUUGUUACAUGUACUAUUUUAUGAUUGCAAGAAAAUCU
rnacentral:lncRNA from 1 species